AGAGGGCUACCAAAUCCUGGCGGUUUGACACAAGGGCAGUCCGUAAUCUCUCAACUGAGUGCUGGAUCACCUGCAUCUAACCCACAGACAGGAGACGACAUAUUGCUGGUCUAGUAUCGAGGCUGACAACAUGUGAUACACUGUUUGAACCUGGCCACACUCACAUAAACCUUCCAGAUGUUCAGUUCUCUGUUCUGGGCACAGCGGCCUAACCAUAGCCUGGUCAUUUAACACUAUCACUUCUACUACCUCUGAAUAUUCCCUUUCAACACCAGAACCGUGGCUCAUGUCUUGCUUUUUUUUGUUCUGUUUUGCAUGCCAACUACCGCUCUCUCAUAAUCUAUUUUUCAUUAAACUCCUACAUUCGGCUGGUCCCGGAUAUAUGGUAAUAUCUGUAUUUUCUUUUUCUGGUGCUUUUUUGGCAAUUUUGUCUGAUAUGUCAUUUCUUGAAGCACUGCAUGUUCUGGAGGAACCCAUACCAAUUCCACUGUGCAUCCUCUUUUUGCUUGUCUUAAUAAACAGAGUGGAAUUUACCUCACUGUAGCAAGAUGGGGCCUAGGACCACUGUUCUUCAAAGCAGCUGAGUCGGUUUAUAUUAAUCCAUAGUCCAAACGAGCUUCUUCUAACCACCCAUAAAUUGACAUCAACUCCAAAGUGAAAACAUAAACUAGGGAGGCACAACCUGUGAUGGAUUUCAAGCAUCACCAUUCCAAACCCUGCUGUACCACUUUCAAGAUCCAAAGAUCUGCCAGUAUAAAUCUGAAGAGAAUGUCCCCAGUUUUGUUUAUUAUAUUCUUUGGCAACUGACCCUUGGUUAUCAUCACCUUUUUUUCCAGGGCUAGGUCAAUAUCUGGUUCCAAAAUGGAACCACUGGCCAUGCGAAUUGAAAAACUGAUACUAUCAUGGAUUCUUCUAAGUUAAAUUUAUCACCCUUUUUCUUAAAAUGUGAAAAUAGUUUCCCUUAGCUUUCCCCUCUGAAAAUUCCCACACUUCACCUCGUAGACAUUCAGCUGCAAAGUUAUAAUCAUAGCUACAUGACUUCACCUGAUAAAGUAAACCCAGCUUUAUUUGUCUUGAUUUCAGUGAAAUCUUCCAUUUCCAUUAAUAGGUGUGGGCUUAAAUACACCACAACAGAUCCUCAGAGCCCUGGUCUGAAUUUAGCAGCUGAUGCAAAGAUCAUGCAGCCAAAUCGGACUGAUCUAAUUGUAAACCAAUAGAUCAUCAGUAAGGUGUCCCUCUUUGCCCCAAAAUCACACCCAGAUACACAAUGGAGAAUAUUGUUUAAAUUCACAUUUGAUACAUUUUUCCAAUAUGCAUUUUCCAAGUAGAAUUUUCAUCCAUCUUAAACCUAAACAGUGUUAAGCUCAUGUCAGGGACUUCCUGUUUCUGCCCAAAAAUCAUAAACUCAGUUUUUGGGUCUGGAAUUCUAAAAUCCCAUUGAUUAGCCCCUACUUCAGUCUGAAAAUAUUCUUUACUUCAGAGUAUAGCAUAGUGCAUAGUGAUGAAACAAAAUGUAUCAUUCAGUAUAAAUCCAUUCAUAAUUGCAUAAUGGAAUUAAUGUGUCUAUCCAGGUAGGAAUUACAUAAUUACGGUAGGAAUAAUCUGAAACAUAAACCCAUACCAGACGGAACUGAUCUGAAAUACUUUUGGACUUUAAUCACAGGGCAUGUCUGUGAUGGGCAGGAAGCACAGUGUGAAUACUAUGCGGCACUGUUUUAUAAGACUGGAUUUGCAUGGCACAUUAUCAAUGAAGUCCAUUCAAACCAGCAAAGGAGCAGGAUUAUAAAUCACACUCCCCUGUUCUGCUGCAUCAACAGAUUACAUACAAAUGUUUAACCACUGUGACGUGCUGCAGCUGAGGUCUGAUAACUGGGCACACACAAAUAUAACAUAAGGUAAUUUCUUAAUGUGGCGAGUCACAUCAAAGCCGUUUAGUUUUCUAGCCACAGCCAGUGUCCACCUCUGAUUUUCAGACUGUCUUCAAUGGCAAAAAAGGCAUACACAUCAGGAAAUUAACAAAAUAAAAAACACACUUCUCUUUUUUAAUGUUUCUUUUUUUAUUGAAGACUGAAAGGUGUCAGAGAGCAUAGAAGUUUUGAUGAGAACUGUACAAGAAAAGAUUUUACAGAUAUUCUCAAUUUACAACUGGUUUUUAGAAUGAAGAUUGUACGGUGACCAAUCCUACUGCCCUCCCCACACCCAAAAAUGUUUAAGCACAGUAUAUUAUUAUAAAAGGCUGUAUUUGGCUAGGAUAGGUCAAUAGCAUUUCCUAUCCAUUUCUUUUUGAACAUAUCUCUAAGGCUUGUCUGGUAAGGGUAAGACCGACCACUGUGAAAAUAAAAUGCGCAGUAUGACCAGCUAUCCUUUCACAUAUAAAAUGCAAAUACAUAAGAGUACUUAAAACUGGAUAAUGGCACGCCUUUAAAUUAGAGACAAAACACCACAUUUCCUUUUGCCACGAGGACAUUCACAAUGCCCAAUAAGGGAUAAGAGAUGCACAUAUAAAAACACCAAAACUGCAGGUAAAUGGUGCUUCAAUACUUGAAAGACAGAAAAAAUGGUUAAAAAUGGUCUUUAAAGUUAAAAAAUGCAACAUUGUUUUGUCUCUUUGUAUGGUUUCAUGAUUUUGAAAGCAACAAAGUUGUGUUGCAUAGCUGGCACAAAAGUAUGGCUACAGUAUUUUUUAUAUAAGUUGACUGUGUCACCCAAAGUUGCAGGGGGUUGCAGACAGAGGUCCAUGGAGCAAAAUGCAAGAUUGCAAGGUA